UACGUAGGGUGCUAGCGUUGUUCGGAAUCAUUGGGCGUAAAGCGCGUGUAGGCUGUUAUCUAAGUCGGGUGUGAAAUCCCUGGGCUCAACCGAGGAAGUGCAUUCGAAACUGGAUAACUGGAGAGUGGUAGAGGAAGGUGGAAUUCCAAGUGUAGAGGUGAAAUUCGUAGAUAUCUGCAGGAACACCCGUGGCGAAAGCGGCGCGCUGGACCGCUACUGACGCUGAGGAACGAAAGCUAGGGGAGCAAACAGG
rnacentral:rRNA from 1 species